rnacentral:tRNA from 2 species
AUUCUUAUAGCUUAAUUUAGAGUUUAAUGUUGAAAACAUUAGGGUAAUAUUUUUAAGAAUA